GCGGUGCGUGCGGGUACAAGGAUGUUAACAAGGCCCCCUUCAACAGCAUGGGCGCGUGCGGCAACCUCCCCAUCUUCAAGGACGGCCUCGGCUGCGGCUCAUGCUUUGAGAUCAAGUGCGACAAGCCGGCCGAGUGCUCCGGUGAGGCCGUGGUGGUGCACAUCACGGACAUGAACUACGAGCAAAUUGCCGCCUACCACUUCGACCUGGCCGGCACCGCAUUUGGCGCCAUGGCCAAGAAGGGCGAGGAGGAGAAGCUGCGCAAGGCGGGCAUCAUCGACAUGCAGUUCCGCCGGGUCAAGUGCAAGUAUGGCGAAAAGGUCACCUUCCACGUGGAGAAGGGGAGCAACCCCAACUACCUGGCACUGCUGGUCAAGUAUGUCGAUGGCGACGGCGACGUUGUGGGGGUGGACAUCAAGGAGAAGGGUGGCGAGGCGUACCAGCCCCUCAAGCACUCCUGGGGCGCUAUUUGGAGGAAGGACAGCGACAAGCCCAUCAAGUUUCCCGUCACUAUCCAAAUCACCACUGAGGGAGGCACCAAGACCGCCUACGAAGAUGUCAUCCCUGAAGGUUGGAAGGCCGACACCACCUACACUGCCAAAUAAGCUGUCCAACAGACCUACCGCUGCUCUUGGAUGGGUUGGAUUGGAUCCCAACUUCCCAAGCAAUGCAUUACGCUUAUGCAUGCAUUGAUCUAUCUAUUUUUUACUGUUGUUGCUGCGACGAUGACGACGCCCUCCUUCAUCCUCUCCAUACGUAGCUAGAGCAAGGUUUCCUUCAUCCUCUCCAUAUAUAGCUAGGACAAGGCUCCAUCCGCUCUGUUAUUAUAUUAAAAAAAGAGAAGGACGAAGAAACAAAGAGACCAGAUACAUAAUAUGUAUCUAACGAGAGAUUUGAGAGGCUUUUGUAUGUAAUAAAAGGAGAGCGAGACAAAUAACAAUUGUCCAUGGAUCUCCUAUGUAAUCUCAAUUUUAUCAUGCCUGCAUUUUAAGUGAAUACACUUUUUUUCAAGACUAAUUGAAAUUUAUGAUAUGCACAUUUGAUUCUAGAUGUAUUCUUUGGUUUGGUCAUGCUUAACCGUGGUCAUUCUUUGAAGGUAUUAAGGUACGACAUUUAUUCAUGUGGCAAAACAUAAGCUUUCUAGUACUCUUUAAUAAAAUGUACUUUGCAUUACUGUGACAACUUCGCUACUUCCAUUAAUUAUGCAAUUUCCAACAUUGAGAUAGCAUCGUGUAUGCAUCUAUAGACCACUAGCUUGGUAAUAAGUGUGGUAAGUGCUUUGAUGAUUUAUGCCAGCUAUAUUAUUGGAAAGGCGCAACAUGAGGGAUAUUUUGGCUUUCUAAGUAUGAUUGGUCUAACGAGGUGAUACAAAUUUAUACUAUAGCUAGUGUGGUUUGUUCAUGCAACAGAUACAUGUCAUCGUUUUGUUCAGUUAGGAAACCACAUAUAGAACUAGUUACCUCAAAGAAACCAUAAGAAUGGUUGGAACAUAAAAUGGACUUAGGAGGAUUGAAUUGGAUCAGAGGAGGACGACCACCCACAUUGUCCUUGGAUUUUUUAUAUAAUCCAACCCCAACUUUAUCAUGGCUACCUUUUUAAGAGAACACUUUUUCUAUGACUAAUGUAAUGACUGAGUGUGCAUUGUAUUCAUAACCAUGAUCACUAAGAGAUUUGCAACAUAAAACUUCUAAUUUAUAAGAAAAACUAUGUGUUAUAUAUUGUUGCACCGUCAAAUCUGUGCACUAGUGAACGACUGGGCAAAUGCUUUGUUUGUUGGUCAGAGUAGUGCUCCAAUGGAUGGUCUAGUAGUGACACCACCAGACAAUUCCUUAGAACACAGUGGCGACUAAGACAUAAGGUGUCUCCUCUACACGCAUGGGCGGAGACUCGUAGAGGCGAUACUGGGCACCUGCCACCCCUUAGUCUAAAAGAACACUAGUACAUGUUUGAGUCUCCGAGCAUCCGUGACUUAUUUUGUACUAUGAUUGGCCAUUGGUAAUCCUAUGUAUCCAUCCAUCUUGUCUCCUUUCUCUCCUAUCAGAUCAAUCAUCUACUCAAAGCAUGCAACUUUACCCUAUCAGUACCUUGGAUAGCAUGCUCUACUAGCUUUUUUAACCGUACUUCUAUGCCAUGUGGAUGUGUGUCGUCCUUGCCUAGUUCCAAUAAAGAACAACAAAAACUUUGUGUAUGCCUGUAAUUUGGAGCUAAUCCUUUUGGUCACACUCAAGUAAUCUACUGUAGUUGCCCCCCCUUGAUUAUACCUCACGCUCCGCCGCUGUCUACACGCUUCAAGGACCAUGUGUCAGCACAAGUAGCAUCAGCAUCCCGGUCUCGCUCCCUCUCUAACACAUUUAUCUUUACACCCCUUGUCUCUCUCUCUCAAUCUAGCAAGAAAGGAGAAGAACCCUAAGCCCCUCCUCGUUACUAGAUUGGAGCUAGGACACUAUUACAAAAUCCAUUAUCAUCACCACACCCUUAAUUAUCACCGUCGUUUUUUUCUAGUACCGACGACGAAAAUAUUUCACUGCAGAUUUUCAGUCCAAAAGGGCUGCACAUAACUUGGGAUUGGACUGAUGCCAAAAAAAUAUUUUCACCACUGGAUCAUAUUCAUUGUUUUAUUACAGGUGGAGAAAACUGUUUUUACCACUGAAUUGGUUGAUCUAGCUGACAUUGAAGAAAUAGCUAGCUAAUGCAAAAUUAGAUUAUGAGCCCCACCCUGUGUGGCCAGGGGCUUUUGGGACGGCGUAGGAAAUGUAGGAAGGAUGGAUUGGUGUCACUUAAGGGGCUUUUUGUGCAAAAAGACCCUUAUAUUAUUGUUAAGAAAGAGAAGAGAGAAGAAACAAAGAGACAAUAAUACACUAGGCAAGAAUGAAAAAAUAAAAUGCUCAAGUGAUAGAGUAGUAUACUGAUCGUGGCAAGAGACAAUAAUACACAAGAAUACCAAGUGGAGACACAAAUAUUUUUCUCCCAAAAUUUUUGUGCUUGUCGGCAUGCUAGUACCCAUUAUGUUGACCGUUCACUUCAUGAUUCGUGACAUAAUAAGCGUAACAAGCCUAACCCUACACAAGGCCGCCACAAGAACCUACACAAAUAAGGGUAGUCAAUGACAUGAGCAAUCCACUGUAGUGCAUUUUGUUUCCCAUGCGGGGAAAGGUCAAGAAACAACACAAUGAUCACCAGGAGUGGCCAUAAACAAUCAUCAACUUAUGCCAACCUCGUCAAGCUGCUCCAAGCCAUAGCUAGAAUGAUCCCCAAGUGCCACUAAAUGCAAUCGCUUAAGCAAACACACUUUGGAUCGGUCCCAACUCACAUGGAUGAUGAAUCAAUCAAAGGCAUGAGUGAGAGAGGUUUGGCUUAGCUCACAAGGAUGCAACAAUGAUCAAAAUGCCCAAGAGAGUGAGCUAGAGUGGGUCAACAUCUAUUUAUAGAGGCCCCAUGCCUCGAAUAGCCAUUAUGCCCACAAAGGGGUGACUAGACCUGUGUCUAGACCUGUUAAUCCCAAAUUUUUGUGAGACAGGAUUUACUUGUGGGUCCACCGUACCCAUGGAGAGAAGGAACGGUUGGACAAUGGAUCGACUAAAUUGAAGACUGGAUGAAAAUUUUCGAUCGGAACAUGUCGAGUCAAGACGGAUGCAAGGGAAGACGUGUCAGGUUCCAUUACAAGAAGGAUUAAAGUCCGAGUUACCUUUCUGAGUGUUCGUGUAAUAGUAGGACACAUGAUUAGGUUUCCUGGUUAUAAAUAUCAGAGAUCCGAUCCUUGUAAAAAUAUACACAAUCAAAUACAAAACCUUUUCGGCUCCGGCCGUCAACCUUAGGAGUAGGAGUAAGAGUAGAUCUCGAUAAGACCUUCGACGAAUCGAGCUGCAUCGGUUGAUUUCGACUUUCGAUUUGCUUGUAAGUAUUGUCAUGGUUCUAUUUAAGUCUAUCACGGCUGCAUCAUUCAAACUCGUGUUAAGCUUGAAUUGGACUAGUUAUCGGUUUAGAUCAUAUUUGUAAGGCUGCAUUUAUUUAAUCUCUUACAAAGAAUCGAUUUAAGCUAAUUAUUGACUCUAUUAAAUUAGCAAUUUAAUAGAUUCUAUAAGUUAUCAAUAUUAUUUGAAGUUUAAUAUUUUAUUUAUUAUAACAAUAUUCCACCCAAUUAAUAUCCGACAGAUUAGUUCAAGCUUCAAACAUAUAUACUUGAAACGAAUUCUAAUGUACAACGAUUAUCAAACAACUAUCCAAGUUAACUAAUCUGUUAAUCUUAAUUGUUACAUAUUGUGCGUUCGAGAUAUUUAUUCAAUCAUGAUUAAUCUGGUAACUAAAACAAAAUUUAAUUAUGACCAAGUAGAUCUUGUUCGUGCUUCAUGGAUUUUGUAUCGGCUAAAUAGCCGAUCCGGUUAAGCUUCAAUGAAGAGUGCACGUGUGUAAAUUCAGUUAUGAAGUUAAAUAGACUAGUAAUUUAUGUUGAAUUUAUUGAAGCCCGCUGGUCUUUAGACCAGGUAAAUAUAAAUUUACUAUGAAAGUAACUUAUUAAAACUGCAGGCCUUUAGACCAUCUUAAAUGAGUUAUUGUCUAUCUAAUGAAUAAAAGGAUAAACAUACGUAAACUAUCUCUCAUGUAUGAAUAACGUAUCGACUAAAUAGUCGAUCUAGUUGUUUUCGCUCGUAACCCAAUUGCUCGAUUAUAUUCAAAAGUGACUCAACAAUUAAAUAACAAAUGUCAUAAUGCAUUAUCAUUACCUUAUUGUUAGGAGUUGACUUUUUAGUCAAUUUCCUUUGGUUAAUGGCUACCUUGGGCCAUAUAUUGUGGAACUGUCUGACAAUAACCGACAUGUUUCAUAAUUUGUCAUUUUUCUUCCUUUUCAAUUUUAGGUCACAUUGACUGGCAUGCCACGGAUUUAAGUCACCAAGCUAAGCUCGUGUGUUGAGGCUUAGGAGGUCCAGAACUCUAGCUUCUACACGCCCUCUAAAAGCCGCCAAGUGUGUUGUACAAGAAGCAUUUUUUUUUGCACCAACAGGACCAUCGACCCCGAGUCUGGCCCACCCUAGGAGCAAAUCAGCAUGUGUUCAAAUACAGCCGUUAUGCGCGCUCAAUGGUCACUAACUUGGUCUAGACCGGACGCGCACCACAACGACCAGACUCCCUCAUAGCGGAGUCCAAUCAACUCCAGUAAGCAUCCAGAGCACUCAAAUGAGACUGAGUCCAGUCUGACUAAUUAGACCCACGAAUAGUAGGUUCCAGUCCGUAACUAGAGCAUUAUGUUAUCCCCCAAAUAAUUCUUUGGACCCUGACUAUGUUCAGGUUCUCAAUCGGAUCGAGUCUAGUCACUCUACUACUACUCACAUGCGUGCCCUCACCUCAACCGAACUCGCACAUAUUGGUCUAAAUGCCUGAUCUGGUAGGGUCCGGUCCGAGUGCUAAAGCCCACAGGCUAGGGUAUGGUGCCGGACUAGACUCACCCAGGGUCCAGACCCCCUAAGCCUUGAGAGUCCGAUUCAAGAAUCUUCUCCAAAUCAACUCCAAGUUCUUCACCCUUGUGCAUUUGUGCCAACUCUAAGUAUCUCAACACACGUGUACGCGAGUUAGCAACAUUUUCAAAGUAUUUUUAAGGGUGCUAAGUUAGCACACUAGCUAGGUCUAAUGCAUAUGCAUGAUCAACAACACCUAGUGGCACUUGAUAAUCGUUGUAACCAUGAUUUUCCGCUCUUCAUAAUACGACUAUCUAUCCUAAAUUCAAUCACACCCUCUAUGGUGUGUUAUGAUUGGUGAAAAAAAAUCUUAUUUAUGCCUUUUCCUUGGUCUCCAUAGAUUUCUAUUUUUCUCUUUCUUCUUUUCUAAGUCGGAGCACUUGAUCUUCAAAUUUGUCCAUCUCCAUCACCAUGGACACCAUCAUCUAGCUCCAUCACUUAGGGUGUACCAACCUAUCUUACAUAAGACUUAUGACAAAGGUUAGUACACUUAGAUUUCAUCAAUUAUCCAAAACCAAACUAGGGCUUUCAAAGGCCUUUUUUUGUAUAAUAAAAGGAUCCAAGGUGCGAUACAAAGGAGCCCUUGUUGUGUUGUCACACCCUAGGCAUGACUAUUUCCAAAGUAAGCAAGUGGUGUCUAGUUAAAAUAGGAAACAACCAACAACCCUGCUAAAGCUCACACUAUAGUGUUCCUCCUUAGGUGUUAGAGGGAUGCUCCAUGAUAGGCGCCACUCGGAACAUUCAAGGUGUCCCUCUGGUGUGCUGAUCUCUUUGGUGAUAUCUUGGCCAGCUUCCCUUAUGUAGUGUACCAAAGGGCCUUGGUUCGACUGAGACCUUCCAUAAAAUGACCUAAGCGAGCGGUUCUAGGCCCAUGUCCACUAAGCCACAUUCGUUUGGCCAAAUCCCCCUAAAUGAUAUAGGGAGUCAAGUGGACCAUCCAUCGCCUGGGGUAAGAGAACUCUGAGGGCUUCUAGGUAUCCAGUGGGGGCAUGCAAGCACACCUGCUGGGUGUGGCCCCCUGAGUCCCUAACUGAUUAGUAGAAUUAGUUAGGAACUUAACUUCAUCUUAAAUAGCAAACUAUGAUCUUAUAAGGCUUGAAAUCCUUGUGAUGCUUUUCGUACCACUGAUAGUCUAUUUUAUGUUCAAUGUAGUGGCAGUUGAUUUCAAAGACAAACUAAGUGGUAAUUAUUAGGAUUUGCCCAAUCACUUACCCAAGAAGGAACGAAGGAUGACUCUGUCUAGGUUUAUGAGCAAACCAACAAAGAUUAACUAUCACACUUACAUGACGAUAAAAUAAAUGACUAGUUGACAAAGAAACUAGCUAAAACCACAACAAGCAAGCUAGCUACAUUGGGCCUCAUACAACACCAAGCUCUUGCACAUGGGCAAAGUUAUGUCAGAACUAUGGAUAAUAACACAAUGCCAUAUAUAUGUUGCCCCCUCAUUUCUAAGAGUCCUAGGUGUAUUUGUACUUGCACUAGGAUCAUGCACAAGUACGCACAAAAACAAGAAAUUUAGUACAUAGCUAAAAAGAAAGGUUCCGAGCUUUAUUGAUAUCUCUUAGAACUGUAGCCCGGAGGGUGAAGUUGUAGGCUUACAGAGCUAGCGGGAAACUACUGCCAUAGGGUGGCACUUGUUCACGGUGGUCUCUAGUACAAUGGGAUUAUACAACAUAUCAAUAACGUAUUCCAUAGGCAAGCUCGAGCAUGACCAAAACCCUAGCUCCGAUGUCAUCUCUUGCAUUAAGACUCUUCAUGUAACUCCUAAUCUUCAUGGUGCACUUCCUCAUCAUGGCCUUGGUCUUCCUUAUCACCAAAGUCUAUGGUGAACAAUAGGUGAAUACUUAUGUACUUAUGUACUCAGCAAGCCCUAACCAUAGGGUGGAAAUAGAGGUGUGGUGGUGAUUAUAAUUAAGGGUUGGGUCCUAGUGGAGCAUUACCAUCCUAGCUAAUCCCCAAGUUAGUGUUAUCUCAUGUUAGUUACCAGUUUCAUUACAUAAAAAGUAAAUCUAAUAAUAGUAUCCCAUCUCAGCAUCUUCUCAUUCCUAGGAUAUGCCUAUUCGAAUAGAUUUGAGUAGCUUUGCAGAGGUGUACAAAUUUCCCCCACAUGAUAGGCACAAUCCCUUCCAUGAUCAGUGGAUGAAGUAGGGCUAACAAGAUCCCAUGUCCGCUUGGGUGCUACCAUAGACUUUCAUAUAACUCUAUCAUGACUUCUUAGGGGUCAAAAAACGUACAAAAACUUAGGAUGAUACCUUAUCAUCCCAUCAAAUCAGUGUCGCUGAUACCAAAUCAUCAAAAUAGUCAAUAAUAGUCAAGGGCUCGAACAUGGCCAAAUAUCAAGGGGCUUAACAUGGAAGAUCACCUAGCAUCCACACCAAUCGGACCAUGGAAGAUCACAUAGCAUCCAUGUCUGCUCCUGAUAUUAUGUUGCCUACACCGACCUCCUAGUAGAAAUUAUACUUUCACCCAACAUGGUGAGAUCAAGUCUACCCAUGUAGACAUGUGGCUAUACGUAACAUCACACUAGGCGAGAGGGACUAUGAACUAGUCCUUAUGUGACCAAAGUGAGCAUCAGUGGGUGCUCGAGGUGAUGGUGGUGGCUCGCCAGAGCUUCCAUUGUGGCAUCGUGUGGUGGUUAUAGCCCUAAUGACCUUAUCUAACUCAACUAACUACGUGUACAUGGGUGCGGGAUUGUGGUGAGUGCAGUGGUGGUCGUGUAGUGCCCAAUCGAGCCUCUUGGUAAAUGGUGGUUGUUAGCCAUGGUGACUCGGUGGGCACAGUGCUUGGUGGCAGCAUGACACAAGAGGUCUAAUCAACUAACUAGCUAAUGGUGCAACAAAUGGGGAAGGAGAGGGAGGCGACUUCAAUGGCGUCGAUGGCACCUGAUUUAGGGGAACCAAUGUUGACCAAGGAGGAGAAGAGGAAAGGGGAAGAGGAGAGCGAGAUGGAGUGUUCUAGCUCAUGACAGAGCUAGUGGUGGAGAGCAUGAGGUCAGAGCGGCCUGUUUAUGGGCCGGCCAUGUUGGUUCCACUGGCAAGAUAUUUUCUCACUCGUUGAGCUCACUUAGAAAAAAACACACGUGCCCGAUGCCUUAGGUCAGCUUGCCAUAGUGUAUCCAUGGCAUCUAGUGGCUCGAGGGCUCUUGGGCCUAUGUGUCAGCCCCAGCCUCCUUUGCCACCAAGUCUCUAGAAAGCACACCUGGGGGGCCCGGUUCAAGCCGACAUAGCCUAACACUCGGCGUAUCAGAACAGAGCAACUAGAUGAUGUCUAGGGCUUCUUUGGCUCCACGACACCAACACGAUCCUUAAAGUACCACUACAAGACCCUCAUGGACUCUAGCACCCGUAGAACAUGGGCUCAACUCCUAAAACCACCAUGUAUCCGACCUAUCUCGAUAUAAAAGGGAUAGGUCAGGUCCUAUAGUGGAUAGGACAAUCUGAGAUAGACAUUACGUUCCUCAUCGAUCUCCUCCUACUCAGCAUCAAGAGUAGAGCAACCCAGAGAGGGGUAGCGAGAGCUCCUCCACCGCACCCAUUAUCUUCCUCUUCUUUGACGAGGGAAAGACUACAUCGGCGACGAGGUGAACUUAGGAUAGCACCGAGCUAACCCCCUAACAAAUCUCUCUCUUUCUCCUGCACUCUAUUGUAACUCCCCAAUUUUGGGUGCUCUUGAGUAUAAGGAUCAUCAGCUACUUGAUGUAGGACGUUGAUGGGCUUGAACCAGGAUAAACUGUUGCGUUUCCUCUGUGAUUAUUGUGUUCUUGAGUCCACCCGAGCCACCGAAGACAUGUACUCUGACACCAAUUUGAACAACAAUGCUUGCCGCAGUUCUGACCCCACGACACUAGGUUUAUGAGCAAACCAACAAAGAUUAAAUGGCACACUUACUUGACUACAAAUAAAUGACUAGUUUAAAACAAACUAGCUAAAACCAACAAGCAGCUAGCUACAUUGGGCCUCAUACAACACCAUGCUCCAGCGCAAGGGCAAAAUUGUGUCAUAACCACAGAUAACAAGACCAUGCCCUAACACAAGGGCAAAAUUGAAGGGGAAAACACAAAUUGAGCACAUUGCUAUAUAUAUGAUUUCUAUCAUUUUAGGGCUUUGCCUUGUUUGCUUUUAAAAAAUACAAGGUUGUUAUUAUGUGGUUAUGCGAUGCUUUAUCAAUUCACGUAGGGACCGAAAGGAGUCUGAUGAAACAUUGAUGUUAAGCGCUAGUCGUUAAAAUAUCUUAUCACUCAUUUAUCCUCAAGCUUUUUUUGAGAAUUACAUAGUACAACGUAGACACUUACAACACACGCACACUAAUUUCUAUGAAUACACGUACACAAACCCUCUAUGAGUAUCUCCGAACAACUGAGCCGGUAGAUCACAAGAUUUAUGAAGUUACCACACGCGCCUCACUGAGGAAAAUGUGAGCACCUAUGCCAAGUUGAGGACUUGAAUCCGGGUGGGUAGAUUCUAUCACAAGGAACUCAACUAGCUGAUCUAUAGUCAGUUUGCUAUCCUCAAGCUGAAUUGAGGGAGGAGACUCCAAUGAUCACCUUUGAAGUCCAUAAAAAGGUUGAAGUUUAUGAAAUAUAUCUAUCUAUUGCCUAACAAACACAUAGAAGUUAUAACUAAUUUAUUUUUGAAUUUAUACUUUCAAAAAUACAUCGCAUGACUGAUUGGCUAUGCACGUGGCUCCAAAGUCCAAACCCCUACUAUAUCAUACCUUCCGUCCAGGCGCUCAUUCAGAUUUGAUUUUUUUUUCUAGAUUUGAAUUAAACCUUCCGUCCAAAACCUAGGCCUUGUUUACAUUCAAAAUCUUUUUGGAUUUGGAUACUAUAGCACAUUCAUUUAUAUUUGGCAAUUAUUGUCCAAUCACGAACUAAAUAGGCUCAAAAGAUUCAUCUCAUAAAUUACAGGCAAGCUGUGUAAUUAAUUAUUUUUUUUUAUCUAUACUUAAUGCUUUAUGUAUGUGCCACAAGAUUUAAUGUGAGAGGGAAUCUUGAAAAAUUUUUGGAUUUUGAGUGGAACUAAACAAAGCCCUAGGGUAAAAACAAGAAUCUCAAAUUAAUCUGGCUUUGGGCUAAAUAUUUUCAAACUAGUACUAGAAAUCUCUUAUGUUUUUAAUAGUAGUCAACAUUAUGACAUAUAGCCCUGAACUUUUUAAAAUGUGCUCUCAAAAUGGGGGAUGGAAGAUGAAGUUGAAAUAGUAGCAUCUCCUAACUCCCACUUACUCAUGUGGACCCUUCGUAGCAUUUUGUGACCAUAUGUUUUAAGGAGUUGUACAUGUAGAGUUGUUCUGACACUAAAACAGUUUUAGCUCUACGAGUAGAGCUGCUCGUGGAGCCAAAGUAAAAUAAUAAUAAUUUCAUUGGUGAAGUGAGGUGGAGCUCUGCCAAAGGGAUGUAACCUCCUCAUCUCAAAAAAAAUGGAAGUAGCCUCCUCUCUUUCUUGGUUGGUCAAUAGAUGUCCAUGAGUCGGCCUGGUUUGGCCAGGCACAGGCCCAGGCUAGGCAUGGCUUCAUGUGGGUCGGGCCGACAUGGCACGUCGUGCCUCCUAGGCCAUGCCUCAUCAGCCGGCCUCAUGUUUGCCAGCGGCCUAGGCACAACCUAUUGGGCCGAUUUUUGAGCUGGGCUGGCCCAGAAAGCACAACCUGCAGAGUAGGGGGGCUAGCCAGAGGCCCACAUUGCAAUGAAGCCAUGGGGGAGCGUUGUCACCAGCUGUGCAGAGGAGCCAAGGGUCAUGUGAGGCCAUGUGAGGGAGUUAGGGAAGAGGAGGCGACGCGAGUCCAUUUGGAGAUGGCUGCUGCAUCUGAUCUGCAUGACGUGGAGGUCAGCAGGGUAAGAGAGAUCUGAGAUAGGCCACUGGAGAGGAGAGGAGAGGAGCGCGAGAUGGGGCAAGCUAGCAUCACAGGCAGCUGAGUGAAGGAAGAAGAGGAGGGCGAGCAAGUGCGGGCGGGCAGCGGAAGAGUCAGUAAGGGCGGUGGCUUCGGCCUUCCCCGUGUGGAGUAGUGAUGGAAAAAAAGAAGUUAGUCGAUGGGGCAGCAGAUCAAGAGUAGCUGUGGGUGGAUGAAUAUGUUGGAUGUUGGCCCAGGCAGGCUAGGCUAGCUCGGGUCACUCAGCACCAGGGCCAUGCCGUGCUCGUGCUGGGCCAAAAUGGCAGGCUUCCUGCCGGACUGCGGGGUGCAUGGCCAAGUAUAAUAUAUAUGUGCAUGCAUGGUAUUCAUUCAUCUCUCUCCACUUCCUUACAUUCAUCUAACGCUGCAGCUGUAAUGUAAUGACAACAACAACGACAAUACAAUGAAGAUAAGAGAGAUCGAGGGAGCAGAGGGACUGAAGAAGACAGGAUUAGGAGUACCUCGGAUCGCGGCAAGACGAACAGCUGCAGGGACGCCAGUGGUCAUCGAUCUCCCUUAUUAGCUUGUUAUAUUACGGUAUGCAAUGCAUGGAAUAGCUAGCAAAACUCGCUCGGCCGUGAAUGACCUCUAUCUCCCCGGUGUGCUUGCAUGCACGCGUGUCCAUAAUAUAAAUAGGAGCCCCGGCCGCCUGCUAGCUCAUUCAUAUUCAUCGCAUCGUAGUUACAUUACAUACCAUCCACCAAACGAUCAAAGGAAGAUGGGAGCGAACAUGAUGUCGUGGUCGAUGCAGGUGGCGUUGGUGGUGGCGCUGGCGUUUCUGGUGGGCGGCGCAUGGUGCGGUCCUCCCAAGGUUGCCCCGGGCAAGAACAUCACGGCCACCUACGGCAGCGACUGGCUGGAAGCGAAGGCAACAUGGUACGGUAAGCCAACAGGCGCCGGCCCCGACGACAACGGCGGCGCAUGUGGUUACAAGGAUGUGAACAAGGCCCCCUUCAACAGCAUGGGCGCGUGCGGCAACCUCCCCAUCUUCAAGGACGGCCUCGGCUGCGGCUCCUGCUUUGAGAUCAAGUGUGACAAGCCGGCCGAGUGCUCCGGCGAGGCCGUGGUGGUGCACAUCACGGACAUGAACUACGAGCAAAUCGCCGCCUACCACUUCGACCUGGCCGGCACGGCGUUCGGCGCCAUGGCCAAGAAGGGCGAGGAGGAGAAGCUGCGCAAGGCGGGCAUCAUCGACAUGAAGUUCCGCCGGGUCAAGUGCAAGUACGGCGAAAAGGUCACCUUCCACGUGGAGAAGGGGAGCAACCCCAACUACCUGGCGCUGUUGGUCAAGUACGUCGACGGCGACGGUGACGUUGUGGGGGUGGACAUCAAGGAGAAGGGUGGCGACGCGUACCAGCCCCUCAAGCACUCCUGGGGCGCUAUCUGGAGGAAGGACAGCGACAAGCCAAUCAAGUUUCCCGUCACCGUCCAAAUCACCACCGAAGGAGGCACCAAGACCGCCUAUGAAGACGUCAUCCCCGAAGGCUGGAAGGCCGACACCACCUACACCGCCAAAUAAACUGUCCAACAGACCUAACGCUGCUCUGGGCUCGGUUGGAUUGGAUCCCAACUUCCCAAGCAAUGCAUUACACUUACGCAUGCAUGGAUCCAUGCACAAUAUCUAUUUUUUUACUGCUGCUACUGCUACGACAAUGUCCUCCUUUGUCCUCUCCAUAUAUAGCUAGAGUCAGGCUCUGCUCUCUUAUAUUAUUAUUAUAUAAGAUAAGAAAUAGGAGAGAGAGAGGAGAGAGACCGAGUACAUAAUAAGUGUCUAAUUAAAGAGAGAUUUGAGAGGCCUUUAUUUUAUAUAUAAUAAAGAAUCCAAGGAGUGAGGCAAACAGCAACAAAAAUGCGUUGUACUGUCCAUGGAUUUCCAUGUAAUCUCAAUUAUACCAUGUCUACAUUUUAAUAGAAUACACACUUUUUAAUGAUUAAUUGAAAUUUAUGAUAAGCAUUCUAGAUGUAUUCUUUGCUUUGCCAGCCUUAGCCGCGGCCAUUCUUCGAAGGUAAGGUACAAUAAUUUCAUUCAUGCUACAAAAUAUAAGCUUUCUACUCUUUAAUAAGAUGAACUUUCCAUUAUUACGACACCUUCACUGCUUGCAUUAAUUAUGCAAUUUCCAACAUUAAGAUGGCGUCAUGUAUGCAUCUAGACCACUAGGUAAUAAGCGUGGUAAUUGUUUCGAUGAUUUAUAUCAACUAUAUUAUUAGAAAGGCACAACAUGAGGGAUAUUAUAGCUUUCAAACAUGAUUGAUCUAACGAGUCGAUUGCACAAGCCGACGGGCGCCGGCCCCGACGACAACGGUGGUGCGUGCGGGUACAAGGAUGUGAACAAGGCCCCCUUCAACAGCAAGGGUGCGUGCGGCAACCUCCCCAUCUUCAAGGAUGGCCUCGGCUGCGGCUCCUGCUUUGAGAUCAAGUGUGACAAGCCAGCCGAGUGCUCCGGCGAGGCCGUGGUGGUGCACAUCACGGACAUGAACUACGAGCAAAUCGCCGCCUACCACUUCGACCUAGCCGGCACGGCGUUCGCCGCCAUGGCCAAGAAGGGCGAGGAGGAGAAGCUGCGGAAGGCGGGCAUCAUCGACAUGCAGUUUCGUCGGGUCAAGUGCAAGUAUGGCGAAAAGGUCACCUUCCAUGUGGAGAAGGGGAGCAACCCCAACUACCUGGCGCUGCUGGUCAAGUACGUCGACGGC
rnacentral:lncRNA from 1 species